rnacentral:rRNA from 1 species
CUCCUACGGGAGGCAGCAGUGGGGAAUUUUGCGCAAUGGGGGAAACCCUGACGCAGCAACGCCGCGUGGAGGAUGAAGCCCCUUGGGGCGUAAAGCUCUUUCGACGGGAACGAUAAUGACGGUACCCGAAGAAGAAGCUGCGGCUAACUACGUGCCAGCAGCCGCGGUAAUAC